rnacentral:rRNA from 1 species
GGGCAUUAAAGGCUGGCUAGCACAUGACGCGUCGAGCGAGAUGAGAGGAGCUUGCUCUUCGAUUCAGCGGCGGACGGGUGAGUAAUGCCUAGGAAUCUGCCUGGUAGUGGGGGACAACGUUUCGAAAGGAACGCUAAUACCGCAUACGUCCUACGGGAGAAAGCAGGGGACCUUCGGGCCUUGCGCUAUCAGAUGAGCCUAGGUCGGAUUAGCUAGUUGGUGGGGUAAUGGCUCACCAAGGCGACGAUCCGUAACUGGUCUGAGAGGAUGAUCAGUCACACUGGAACUGAGACACGGUCCAGACUCCUACGGGAGGCAGCAGUGGGGAAUAUUGGACAAUGGGCGAAAGCCUGAUCCAGCCAUGCCGCGUGUGUGAAGAAGGUCUUCGGAUUGUAAAGCACUUUAAGUUGGGAGGAAGGGCAGUAAGCGAAUACCUUGCUGUUUUGACGUUACCGACAGAAUAAGCACCGGCUAACUCUGUGCCAGCAGCCGCGGUAAUACAGAGGGUGCAAGCGUUAAUCGGAAUUACUGGGCGUAAAGCGCGCGUAGGUGGUUUGUUAAGUUGGAUGUGAAAUCCCCGGGCUCAACCUGGGAACUGCAUCCAAAACUGGCAAGCUAGAGUAGGGUAGAGGGUGGUGGAAUUUCCUGUGUAGCGGUGAAAUGCGUAGAUAUAGGAAGGAACACCAGUGGCGAAGGCGACCACCUGGACUCAUACUGACACUGAGGUGCGAAAGCGUGGGGAGCAAACAG